GUAGAGACUAGAGUCUCAUCUUGACACACAUUAUUGUCUUGGUGUGCUUGAGUCCUCUUAGAGUAAAGACUGGUCCUAUUCACCGACUGGCCUCCUCUGUAGUCCAGUCACCCACAUGGGCAGUUACAAGC
ensembl:snoRNA